GACAGAGGGUGCAAACGUUGUUCGGAAUUACUGGGCGUAAAGCGUGUGUAGGCGGCUACAUAAGUCGGAUGUGAAAGCCCCGGGCUCAACCCGGGAAGUGCACUCGAUACUGCGUAGCUUGAGUCUCGGAGAGGUUGGUGGAAUUCUCGGUGUAGAGGUGAAAUUCGUAGAUAUCGAGAGGAACACCGGUGGCGAAGGCGGCUUACUGGACCGGUUCUGACGCUGAGGCGCGAAAGCGUGGGGAGCAAACAGG
rnacentral:rRNA from 1 species